rnacentral:rRNA from 1 species
UACGAAGGGGGCUAGCGUUGCUCGGAAUCACUGGGCGUAAAGCGCACGUAGGCGGCUUUUUAAGUCAGGGGUGAAAUCCUGGAGCUCAACUCCAGAACUGCCUUUGAUACUGAAGAUCUUGAGUCCGGGAGAGGUGAGUGGAACUGCGAGUGUAGAGGUGAAAUUCGUAGAUAUUCGCAAGAACACCAGUGGCGAAGGCGGCUCACUGGCCCGGUACUGACGCUGAGGCACGAAAGCGUGGGGAGCAAACAGG